CGAAAGCCUGACGGAGCAAUACCGCGUGAGGGAGGAAGGCUCUUGGGUUGUAAACCUCAAAAAUUAGGGAAGAAGAAAGUGACGGUACCUAAUGUAAGCAUCGGCUAACUCCGCGCCAGCAGCCGCGGUAAUACGGAGGAUGCAAGCGUUAUCCGGAAUUAUUGGGCGUAAAGGGUCCGCAGGUGGCUUGGCAAGUCUGCUGUUAAAGAAUCAGGCUUAACCUGAUCAAAGCAGUGGAAACUGCCAAGCUAGAGUUCAGUAGGGGUAGCGGGAAUUCCCAGUGUAGCGGCGAAAUGCGUAGAGAUUGGGAAGAACAUCGGUGGCGAAAGCGCGCUACUGGGCUGAAACUGACACUAAGGGACGAAAGCUAGGGUAGCG
rnacentral:rRNA from 1 species